GGGCGCUUGGUUUAGUGGUAUAAUGUUCGCUUUGCAUUCUGACGUUGAAUCUCAAUCCAAGGAUACAUAGUUGCGAAAGGUCGCUGGUUCGAUUCCUGCAGUGUCCA